UUUUUUUUUCUUUUUGUUCAUUGUGGAUUUUUUUUCUGGACCAGAUUGUUUUGGUUUUUUCUGUUUUUUCCUUUUUGUCUCUAUUUUUCUGUUUCUUUUUAUUUCUUUUUUCUGAACCGGUUUUAUUUUUUAUUUCUAUUCCUUUUCUUUAGUUUUUUAUUUUUUAUUAUAUUUUUCUUUUCGUUUUCAAAAUGCAUUUUUUCAAUAUUGAUGACCUUUUUCAAAAUUGAUGAGAUUUUUAAAUAUUUGAGAAUUGUUUUUCAAAAUAGGUGAAUUUUUUCCAAAUUCGACGAACUUUAUUAAAUUUUGUGUACUUUAAAAAAAAGAUGAAAUUUUAAUCAAAAUCGGUGAUUUUUUCCAAAAUCAAUGAAUUUUUUUUGAAAAAUGAUGGACUUUUUUCUCGAAUUUGAUGAACAUCUUUUAAUUCAUGAUCUUCUUUUUCAAAAGUACGGUUGAUCGAUCAACCGUUGACCGAGCGAGCAAAUUCUUAUUUUAGGGGACUGAGCGAGCGAGCGACUGCGUGAUUGCGGGAGCUACCAGCACGUUGUUGGGCUGGCCCACGGGAGCGGCUGCAUGGGCACCAUUUUCUUGGUACGACAACUCAUGAAGAGAUAUCUCUACUACUUAAAAACAACGUAAGGUUUCCAUUUCACAUUUUUUUCCCACCACCUCUUCGUCCAACCUUUUAUGUAUAUGAUAAUCAAUCACCUUAAUUUACUUACCUUCUGAACCAAUUCCACUUUAAUUUACUUACCAAACUUCUAAUCAAAAUAUAAGGUAAUUCAUAGUUAGAAUUUGAUGAACAUUUAUUUACACAAUCGCAUUAUUAUUGACAAGUAAAUCACAAGCUAACGUAAUAGAAUAUUUAUAUCUUGUUGCAACGCACGGGCAUUGUUCUAGUAUGGAGCAAAAGGACCUGCAUAUGGUGUUCAUUGAUUUAGAUAAGGCCUACGAUAAGAUACCGCAGAAUGUCAUAUGUGAUGGCCCUUGAAGAAACACAAAGUCCCAGCAAAGUACAUUACCGUCAUCAAGGACAUGUACGACAAUGUUGUGACAAUUGUUUGAACAAGUGAUAGUGACACCGAUGACUUCCCGAUUAAAAUAGGCCUGCACCAGGGAUCAACUUUGAGCUGUUAUCUUUUUGCUUUGGUGAUGGAUGAGGUCAAGAGGGAUAUACAAGGAGACAUCCCAUGGUGUAUGCUCUUUGCGGAUGAUAUGGUGCUAGUCGAUGAUAGACGGACAAGGGUCAGUAGGAAGUUAGAGCUAUGGAGACAGACCUUGAAAUCCAACGAUUUUAGACUUAGUAGAACUAAAACCGAGUGCAUGAGGUGCGCUUUCAAUGCAACUAGGCACGAGGAGGAGGAGGUUAGCCUUGAUGGGCAGGUGGUGCCUCAAAAGGACACCUUUCGAUAUUUGGGAUCAAUGUUGUAGAACGAUGGGGAUGUCGAUGAAGAUGUGAACCAUCGAAUCAAAGCCAGAUGGUGGAAGUGGCGUCAAGCUUCCGGCAUUCUCUGUGACAAAAGAGUGCCCCAAAAGCUAAAAGACAAGUUCAAUAGGACGACGGUACGACCUGCAAUGUUGGAUGGCGUUGAGUGUUGAUCGACUAAAAGGCGACAUCUUCAACAAUUAGGUGUGACGGAGAUGCGCAUGUUGAGGUGAAUGUGUGGCCACACAAGGAAGGAUCGAGUCCGGAAUGAUGAUAUAUGAGAUAGAGUUGGGUAGCACCGAUUGAAGAGAAGCUUGUCCAACAUCGUCUGAGAUGGUUUGGACAUAUUCAGCGCAGGCCUCCAGAAGCGUCGGUGCAUAGCAGACAGCUAAAGAGAUGUCAGGGUAGACCAAACUUAACAUGGAGGAGUCCAUAAAGACAGAUCUGAAAGACUGGAGUAUCACCAUAGAACUAGCACGUGACAGAUCUUAUGGGUUUCACCUCUAGUCUACCCCAACUCAUUUGAGACUAAAAGCUUCGUUGUUGUUGUUAGGCACUGAGAUUUGGGAGAGGAAAGGGUAGAGUGAAGAUGGUAUGCCACUGGUGGGUGGGCAGACACAAACCUAGUCAAACUUUGAGCCAGAAAUGGAUCAAAGUUGAUAGCAAAACAGACAUCAAUUUGUUUGUGUCACUACGUUAGGCCAUGAUUUUUGUCUGUGCAGACAAAAACAGACACAGGCAAAUUGGAGGCACAACAAAGCAUGCGUCCCCUUCUAGUUUUAUUUACAAGCGACAAGCUCGUUUAUACGUUGGAAAAAAGACGAUGUUACUGCACAAGGACUAUUUGUGAGUUAUCCUCCCUCCGUCCAGGAAUACUAGACUUAUUUUAGUUAUAGAUACAUCCAUUUUAUCCAUUUUUAGGACAAGUAUUUCUGGACGAAGGGAGUAUCUCUCAAUUGACCAAUUUGUCAUAGAAAGGUUACAGCAUCAGCUGGAACCGUGGAACAUAUAGGUACUCAAAUAUUAAGACCAACCAAGGCUUCAAGACAGGAAGCACAUAACACAAGGGCAACCGAGGGAGGAGUAAUAUCCAUUGCCACUGCGAUAAUUUCAGCAUGUCUUAGCCCACAUAGGACACAAUAACGAAACACUGUUCCCACAUUCUACGGCCACUGCAAUACCAAGUUCCCACACAAAAUAAGCCCUAAACUUCAAUUGCAAAAGGAGGGCAUCCAUAAUGCCACGUCAGAUUCAAGCAAUUUCUGGGCAAUGUCCUUUAUAACCUUGUCCAUGUCGAGCUCCCUCAUCUUUUUGAAGGGCCGUGGCAUGUU
rnacentral:lncRNA from 1 species